rnacentral:rRNA from 1 species
ACGGGGUGCAGCAGGCGCGAAAACUUUACAAUGCGGGAAACCGCGAUAAGGGGACACCGAGUGCCAGCAUAUUAUGUUGGCUGUCCACAUGUGUAAACGGCAUGUGUUAGCAAGGGCCGGGCAAGACCGGUGCCAGCCGCCGCGGUAACACCGGCGGCCCGAGUGGUAAUCACUUUUAUUGGGUCUAAAGGGUCCGUAGCCGGUUUGAUCAGUUCUUCGGGAAAUCUGACAGCUCAACUGUUAGGCUUCCGGGGAAUACUGUCAGACUUGGGACCGGGAGAGGUAAGAGGUACUACAGGGG